rnacentral:rRNA from 1 species
CCUACGGGGAGCUGCAGUGGGGGAUAUUGCACAAUGGGGGGAACCCUGAUGCAGCGACGCCGCGUGGGUGAAGAAGCGCCUCGGCGCGUAAAGCCCUGUCAGCAGGGAAGAAAAUGACGGUACCUGAAGAAGAAGCACCGGCUAACUACGUGCCAGCAGCCGCGGUAAUACGUAGGGGGCCAGCGUUAUCCGGAUUUACUGGGUGUAAAGGGGGCGCAGACGGCGAGGCAAGCCAGGAGUGAAAGCCCGGGGCCCAACCCCGGGACUGCUGUGUGAACUGCGUGGCUGGAGUGCAGGAGGGGCAUGCGGAAUUCGUGGUGUAGCGGUGAAAUGCGUAGAUAUCAGGAGGAACACCGGUGGCGAAGGCGGCCUGCUGGACUGCAACUGACGUUGAGGCCCGAAAGCGUGGGUAGCGAACAGGAUUAGAUACCCUGGUAGUC